AGCUCCAAUAGCGUAUAUUUAAGUUGUUGCAGUUAAAAAGCUCGUAGUUGGAUUUCGGGCGAAUCGACGCGGUCUGCCUCUGGUACGUACUGCGCCCGGUUCGCCUUUCUGUCGGGGACUGGCUCCUGGGCUUCACUGUCCGGGACUAGGAAUCGACGAGGUGACCUUGAGCAAACAAGAGUGUUCAAAGCAAGCCUACGCUCUGAAUUUUUUAGCAUGGAAUCACACGAUAGGACUCUGGCCUAUCU
rnacentral:rRNA from 1 species